AAAAAAAAAAAAACUCAUAAUUACCUUAACAUUAUAUAUAUAUAUAUUUAUAUAUAUAUAUUCAAGAAACAAACUUCUUCCACUGGGAAACAAAAGAUUAUUUUCUAAUGAAUUCUCUUUUUUCUAUCAGCAAUAAUAAUCUAAAACUUGCUAGCAUUGAAGAAAGAUAUGGAGUGUCGGUACCCAAAUCAUGGAAAAUGCAAAUCAGAUACCCUAAAACGCCAUCUUCCGUGUUGUGAUCAGGUUUAGGGUUUAGGGUACAUGCACUCCACAAGCAGCUCCGCGAUCUUGAAGGCUUUCCACGCAGAGCUGGAUUCUGAUGUUUGUGAUUUGCUGAGUUGGGUGCCAGGAUCGUGCAUUCGUUAGUUGCAUCGCAUCAAUGGUGCAAAGCGUAAGUGCACAAGAAGCUGAGCUCUUGGACUUGGAGUGUAUAAUUGUGGACAUUCCAAUUUCUGAGUUUAAUAGAGUGUUGUGUAGUAUGCUUAGAUAGCACGCAAGUUGCUUUGGUUACCACUUCAAUGAUCGGGAAGACGUCGUCAGAAUUCGCGUCUUCAUGGUGCGGAAGCUUGUGUCUGUCUCACGUGGGUUAUGGAAAAGAAUUGAACCCGUCACAUGAAAAUCGUACCGCAGGUGCAUGUGAGCAAUGGCUGGUGAUAGUGUUUCCAUCCUUUGCUGGGAUUGCAUUCCACUCCAUUUGCAUCACCAAUUGCAGCAUUAACGACGCCUCACGUCCCAAGCUCAUCAUCCAAACCCCUAACACUAAAUUCUUUUGGCUUCGGUAGGCAGAGUUUCCCGGAUUCUUUUGCAACAAUGCAAAUGGCAUGAGCAAUAGCUCUUCUACGAGAACCUGAGCAUGAGCAUUACUGCUGUUAAGGGCACCGUUUUCUCCAUCGGAUUAGGUCUCAUACCUCAGGCGCAGACCCGAAUCUUCCUCCGGAGGAUGAUGCAGCGGCCUUAUUUGCUGCACUCAACAAAUCUCAGAAAAAGUGUCGCUGCGACAAAUCGGAGAACCCAAUCGCAUAGUCUCUGAUACGCUGAACAAUCUCAUUGGCGAGCAGAAUCUAACGAUCCGUGGCUAUAAAGCCGUUCUAAGAUAAUGGGGGAUUUGUCACAAAACCCCAAUGCAAUCCAAGCAUCUGGAGAAUCAUGGAGAUUUCGGACAACUCUCCCAUUUGCCGGCACGAAUUCGAUGGUCGGAAGAGGGCGAACACUUCACGCAUUCAAUCUCACGCACAAGAAUCCUGCUCCAUCAACUAACCCACCAGACCAAAAUUUUCAAAACAGAAAAAACAAUCUCACAAAUUCACUCGACAUUCGAUACCUCCCACCCCGCGUAGGACCCAGUCCAAUCGGAGUGGCAGGAACCGAUCCCGCAAUAACACGUGUAC
rnacentral:lncRNA from 1 species